CGCGGGGGCACCCUGGCGACGAGUGSCGGRCGGGUGARUWAUGCUUGGGAAUCUACCCAGUAGCGGGGGAUAACCUAGGGAAACUUAGGCUAAUACCGCAUACGACCUACGGGUGAAAGCGGGGGAUCGUAAGACCUCGCACUAUUGGAUGAGCCCAAKUCGGAUUAGCUAGUUGGCGGGGUAACGGCCCACCAAGGCUACGAUCCGUAGCUGGUCUGAGAGGACGAUCAGCCACACUGGGACUGAGACACGGCCCAGACUCCUACUGGAGGCAGCAGUGGGGAAUAUUGGACAAUGGGGGCAACCCUGAUCCAGCAAUGGCGCGUGUGUGAAGAAGGCCUGCGGGUUGUAAAGCACUUUCAGUAUGGAAGAAAAGCUCGGGACUAAUAAUCCCGGGUCUUGACGUUACCUAAAGAAGAAGCACCGGCUAACUCCGUGCCAGCAGCCGCGGUAAUACGGAGGGUGCGAGCGUUAAUCGGAAUUACUGGGCCUAAAGCGCACGUAGGUGGUUGGGUAAGUAGGAUGAGAAAGCCCUG
rnacentral:rRNA from 1 species